rnacentral:rRNA from 1 species
UACGUAGGUGGCAAGCGUUGUCCGGAAUCAUUGGGCGUAAAGAGCGCGUAGGUGGCUUGUCAGGUCCGAUGUGAAAACCUGGGGCUCAACUCCAGGCCUGCAUCGGAAACCGGCUUGCUAGAGUCUGGGAGAGGAGAGUGGAAUUCCUGGUGUAGCGGUGAAAUGCGUAGAUAUCAGGAGGAACACCGGUAGCGAAGGCGGCUCUCUGGAACAGUACUGACGCUGAGGCGCGAAAGCUAGGGGAGCGAACAGGAUUAGAUA